rnacentral:rRNA from 1 species
GAUGAACGCUGGCGGCGUGCCUAAUACAUGCAAGUCGAGCGAACGGACGAGAAGCUUGCUUCUCUGAUGUUAGCGGCGGACGGGUGAGUAACACGUGGAUAACCUACCUAUAAGACUGGGAUAACUUCGGGAAACCGGAGCUAAUACCGGAUAAUAUUUUGAACCGCAUGGUUCAAAAGUGAAAGACGGUCUUGCUGUCACUUCUAGAUGGAUCCGCGCUGCAUUAGCUAGUUGGUAAGGUAACGGCUUACCAAGGCAACGAUGCAUAGCCGACCUGAGAGGGGGAUAGGCCACACGGGAACUGAGACACGGUCCAGACUCCUACGGGAGGCAGCAGUAGGGAAUCGUCCGCAAUGGUCGAAAGCCUGACGGAGCAACGCCGCGUGAGUGAUGAAGGUCUUCGGAUCGUAAAACUCUGUUAUUAGGGAAGAACAGAUGUGUAAGUAACUGUGCACAUCUUGACGGUACCUAAUCAGAAAGCCACGGCUAACUACGUG